UUUGAGGUCAUGUGACCAGGGUGGGAUAUUUGAUGAAUGAAGUCCGUUGUCGCUACACCUCGCUACAGCAACAUUUUUAUUUCACAAAGGAACGAUCUGAAGAUAUUAUCCUAGAACUGGUUUUCAUUCGAAGAAAGCAGCAAGUCACCAUAAGCAUGAAGAGAUAGCAAGCACCUUGUAGUCCAAAGAAGUAACAAGCAGUUAGUAA